rnacentral:rRNA from 1 species
UACGUAGGGUGCGAGCGUUGUCCGGAAUUACUGGCGUAAAGGAGCUCGUAGGUGGUUUGUCGCGUUGUCCGUGAAAACUCACAACUCAAUUGUGGGCGUGCGGGCGAUACGGGCAGACUGGAGUACUGCAGGGGGAGACUGGAAUUCCUGGUGUAGCGGUGGAAUGCGCAGAUAUCAGGAGGAACACCGGUGGCGAAGGCGGGUCUCUGGGCAGUAACUGACGCUGAGGAGCGAAAGCGUGGGGAGCGAACAGG